UUCUAAUCGGUCUCAAUCAAU
rnacentral:piRNA from 1 species